CUUAAAUCCAUGGUGGAGAACAGUAAAGUGCUGCUCAAGAAAAUGUUCUGUCUCCAGCCUGCUGUUUCUUCUCAGUAAGACCGAUCCAACCACCACAUACUGAAACCUCAUGUUACACCUACGACGUGAUUGACAGUGUGCACGGCCCUCCACUUCUCUGUAGCAGUGCAGCGUGGGAAACAGCAGAGGAUCUUCAAUAACAGGUAUGCAAAGGAGAUGGCCUUCUGUAAUAGUAGCCAGUGCAUCAGCUCGAACAGACCAAAUGAAUCCAG